AAGGCCUUCGGGUUGUAAAGUCCUUUCGUGGAGGACGAAAAGGCGGGUUCUAAUACAAUCUGCUGUUGACGUGAAUCCAAGAAGAAGCACCGGCUAACUCCGUGCCAGCAGCCGCGGUAAUACGGGGGGUGCAAGCGUUAAUCGGAAUCACUGGGCGUAAAGGGUGCGUAGGCGGUACGUUAGGUCUGUCGUGAAAUCCCCGGGCUCAACCUGGGAAUGGCGGUGGAAACCGGCGCACUAGAGUAUGGGAGAGGGUGGUGGAAUUCCAGGUGUAGCGGUGAAAUGCGUAAAGAUCUGGAGGAACAUCAGUGGCGAAGGCGGCCACCUGGCCCAAUACUGACGCUGAGGCACGAAAGCGUGGGGAGCAAACAGGAUUAGAUACCCUGGGUAGUCAA
rnacentral:rRNA from 1 species